AAGAUAUCAGGGGGACACUUCUUGAUCAUAAGCUUAAAUCUCUCCCAGGCCUCAUAAAGGGAUUCUCCAUCUUUCUAUCUGAAGGUUUGGACAUCCACCCUAAGCUU